GACGGAGGGUGCAAGCGUUGCUCGGAAUCACUGGGCGUAAAGGGUGCGUAGGCGGGUCUUUAAGUCAGGGGUGAAAUCCUGGAGCUCAACUCCAGAACUGCCUUUGAUACUGGGAGUCUUGAGUUCGGGAGAGGUGAGUGGAACUGCGAGUGUAGAGGUGAAAUUCGUAGAUAUUCGCAAGAACACCAGUGGCGAAGGCGGCUCACUGGCCCGAUACUGACGCUGAGGUGCGAAAGCGUGGGGAGCAAACAGG
rnacentral:rRNA from 1 species